CAGCAGCCGCGGGAAUACGAAGGGUGCAAGCGUUAAUCGGAAUUACUGGGCGUAAAGCGUGCGUAGGCGGUGAGUUAAGUCUGCUGUGAAAUCCCCGGGCUCAACCUGGGAAUGGCAGUGGAUACUGGCUCGCUAGAGUGUGUCGGAGGAUGGUGGAAUUCCCGGUGUAGCGGUGAAAUGCGUAGAGAUCGGGAGGAACAUCAGUGGCGAAGGCGGCCAUCUGGGACAACACUGACGCUGAGGCACGAAAGCGUGGGGAGCAAACAGGAUUAGAUACCCCCGUAGUCCCUGUCUCUUAUAC
rnacentral:rRNA from 1 species